AAAAUUGAUAGUACUAUUAUCAUUAUAAUUAUAAACACAAAUUAGAGGUUAUUUUUCGAGGUGUAGGAGUGUUUAAAUUAAUUAGAAUCAAUACCAUCAAAUUGAAGAUAGACUCAUCCUUUAUCUGUUUGGAUUUGACAGACAUAAGACACGAAUAGACAUACAGCAAACAUCUUCUUCCAACACAAAUUCAUUAUGAUAAACUAAUUCCAAAGAAAUUAAUACAACAAAAGCAC
rnacentral:lncRNA from 1 species